GGAGUUAUAGUUCAGUGGUAGAGUGCAUGCUUAGCAUGCACAAGGUCCUGGGUUCAAUCCCUGGUACCUCUG
rnacentral:tRNA from 1 species